rnacentral:rRNA from 1 species
GACGAACGCUGGCGGCGUGCUUAACACAUGCCAGUCGAACGGAAAGGCCCUGCUUUUGUGGGGUGCUCGAGUGGCGAACGGGUGAGUAACACGUGAGUAACCUGCCCUUGACUUUGGGAUAACUUCAGGAAACUGGGGCUAAUACCGGAUAGGAGCUCCUGCUGCAUGGUGGGGGUUGGAAAGUUUCGGCGGUUGGGGAUGGACUCGCGGCUUAUCAGCUUGUUGGUAGGGUAGUGGCUUACCAAGGCUUUGACGGGUAGCCGGCCUGAGAGGGUGACCGGCCACAUUGGGACUGAGAUACGGCCCAGACUCCUACGGGAGGCAGCAGUGGGGAAUAUUGCACAAUGGGCGGAAGCCUGAUGCAGCAACGCCGCGUGCGGGAUGACGGCCUUCGGGUUGUAAACCGCUUUCGCCUGUGACGAAGCGUGAGUGACGGUAAUGGGUAAAGAAGCACCGGCUAACUACGUG